UACGGAGGAUGCAAGCGUUAUCCGGAUUCAUUGGGUUUAAAGGGUGCGUAGGCGGGGCGGUAAGUCAGUGGUGAAAGCCUGCAGCUUAACUGUAGAAUUGCCAUUGAUACUGUCGCUCUUGAAUGCGGUUGAGGCAGGCGGAAUGUGUAAUGUAGCGGUGAAAUGCUUAGAUAUUACACAGAACACCGAUUGCGUAGGCAGCUUGCGAAACCGUGAGUGACGAUGAGGCACGAAAGCGUGGGGAGCAAACAGG
rnacentral:rRNA from 1 species